rnacentral:rRNA from 1 species
CUACGGGAGGCAGCAGUGGGGAAUAUUGCACAAUGGGCGCAAGCCUGAUGCAGCCAUGCCGCGUGUAUGAAGAAGGCCUUCGGGUUGUAAAGUACUUUCAGCGGGGAGGAAGGGAGUAAAGUUAAUACCUUUGCUCAUUGACGUUACCCGCAGAAGAAGCACCGGCUAACUCCGUGCCAGCAGCCGCGGUGAUACGGAGGGUGCAAGCGUUAAUCGGAAUUACUGGGCGUAAAGCGCACGCAGGCGGUUUGUUAAGUCAGAUGUGAAAUCCCCGGGCUCAACCUGGGAACUGCAUCUGAUACUGGCAAGCUUGAGUCUAGUAGAGGGGGGUAGAAUUCCAGGUGUAGCGGUGACAUGCGUAGAGAUCUGGAGGAAUACCGGUGGCGAAGGCGGCCCCCUGGACGAAGACUGACGCUCAGGUGCGAAAGCGUGGGGAGCAAACAGGAUUAGAUACCCCUGUAGUC